UGAAUGUGAUAGGCUGGCGACCUGUCCAGGGUGUACCCCGCCUUCGCCCAAUGUCAGUUGGGAUCGGCUCCACCCCCCCCUUGCGACCUCUAACGGGAUAAGAGGUUGCAGAUGAUGAAUGGAUGAUGAUGGAUGUUUCUUAUAUUUCACUG